UCAGAGCGAACGCUGGCGGCAGGCCUAACACAUGCAAGUCGAACGGACCUUUCGGGGUUAGUGGCGGACGGGUGAGUAACACGUGGGAACRUGCCUUUAGGUUCGGAAUAAGCUCGGGAAACUGGGUCUAAUACCGAAUGUGCCCUUCGGGGGAAAGAUUUAUCGCCUUUAGAGCGGCCCGCGUCUGAUUAGCUAGUUGGUGGUGUAAUGGACCACCAAGGCGACGAUCAGUAGCUGGUCUGAGAGGAUGACCAGCCACAUUGGGACUGAGACACGGCCCAAACUCCUACGGGAGGCAGCAGUGGGGAAUCUUGCGCAAUGGGCGAAAGCCUGACGCAGCCAUGCCGCGUGUAUGAUGAAGGUCUUAGGAUUGUAAAAUACUUUCACCGGUGAAGAUAAUGA
rnacentral:rRNA from 1 species